rnacentral:rRNA from 1 species
GGAUUAGAUACCCUGGUAGUCCAUGCCGUAAACGUUGGGCGCUAGGUGUGGGGACCUUCCACGGUCUCCGUGCCGCAGCUAACGCAUUAAGCGCCCCGCCUGGGGAGUACGGCCGCAAGGCUAAAACUCAAAGGAAUUGACGGGGGCCCGCACAAGCGGCGGAGCAUGCUGAUUAAUUCGAUGCAACGCGAAGAACCUUACCUGGGUUUGACAUAUGCCGGAAAGCCGUAGAGAUACGGCCCCUUUUAGUCGGUAUACAGGUGGUGCAUGGUUGUCGUCAGCUCGUGUCGUGAGAUGUUGGGUUAAGUCCCGCAACGAGCGCAACCCUCGUCCUAUGUUGCCAGCACGUAAUGGUGGGGACUCAUAGGAGACUGCCGGGGUCAACUCGGAGGAA